rnacentral:rRNA from 1 species
GAGUAAUGUCUGGGAAACUGCCUGAUGGAGGGGGAUAACUACUGGAAACGGUAGCUAAUACCGCAUAACGUCGCAAGACCAAAGAGGGGGACCUUCGGGCCUCUUGCCAUCAGAUGUGCCCAGAUGGGAUUAGCUAGUAGGUGGGGUAACGGCUCACCUAGGCGACGAUCCCUAGCUGGUCUGAGAGGAUGACCAGCCACACUGGAACUGAGACACGGUCCAGACUCCUACGGGAGGCAGCAGUGGGGAAUAUUGCACAAUGGGCGCAAGCCUGAUGCAGCCAUGCCGCGUGUAUGAAGAAGGCCUUCGGGUUGUAAAGUACUUUCAGCGGGGAGGAAGGCGAUAAGGUUAAUAACCUUGUCGAUUGACGUUACCCGCAGAAGAAGCACCGGCUAACUCCGUGCCAGCAGCCGCGGUAAUACGGAGGGUGCAAGCGUUAAUCGGAAUUACUGGGCGUAAAGCGCACGCAGGCGGUCUGUCAAGUCGGAUGUGAAAUCCCCGGGCUCAACCUGGGAACUGCAUUCGAAACUGGCAGGCUAGAGUCUUGUAGAGGGGGGUAGAAUUCCAGGUGUAGCGGUGAAAUGCGUAGAGAUCUGGAGGAAUACCGGUGGCGA